UUAAGUUAUUAAGGGCGCACGGUGGAUGCCUUGGCACUAGAAGCCGAUGAAGGACGUUACUAACGACGAUAUGCUUUGGGUAGCUGUAAGUAAGCGUUGAUCCAGAGAUUUCCGAAUGGGGGAACCCAGCAUGAGUUAUGUCAUGUUAUCGACAUGUGAAUUCAUAGCAUGUCAGAAGGCAGACCCGGAGAACUGAAACAUCUUAGUACCCGGAGGAAGAGAAAGAAAAAUCGAUUCCCUGAGUAGCGGCGAGCGAAACGGGAAGAGCCCAAACCAACAAGCUUGCUUGUUGGGGUUGUAGGACACUCUAUACGGAGUUACAAAAGAACAUGUUAGACGAAUCAUCUGGAAAGAUGAAUCAAAGAAGGUAAUAAUCCUGUAGUCGAAAACAUAUUCUCUCUUGAGUGGAUCCUGAGUACGACGGAGCACGUGAAAUUCCGUCGGAAUCUGGGAGGACCAUCUCCUAAGGCUAAAUACUCUCUAGUGACCGAUAGUGAACCAGUACCGUGAGGGAAAGGUGAAAAGUACCCCGGAAGGGGAGUGAAAGAGAACUUGAAACCGUGUGCUUACAAGUAGUCAGAGCCCGUUAAUGGGUGAUGGCGUGCCUUUUGUAGAAUGAACCGGCGAGUUACGAUCUGAUGCAAGGUUAAGCAGCAAAUGUGGAGCCGCAGCGAAAGCGAGUCUGAAUAGGGCGUUGAGUAUUUGGUCGUAGACCCGAAACCAGGUGAUCUACCCUUGGUCAGGUUGAAGUUCAGGUAACACUGAAUGGAGGACCGAACCGACUUACGUUGAAAAGUGAGCGGAUGAACUGAGGGUAGCGGAGAAAUUCCAAUCGAACUUGGAGAUAGCUGGUUCUCUCCGAAAUAGCUUUAGGGCUAGCCUCAAGUGAUGAUUAUUGGAGGUAGAGCACUGUUUGGACGAGGGGCCCCUCUCGGGUUACCGAAUUCAGACAAACUCCGAAUGCCAAUUAAUUUAACUUGGGAGUCAGAACAUGGGUGAUAAGGUCCGUGUUCGAAAGGGAAACAGCCCAGACCACCAGCUAAGGUCCCAAAAUAUAUGUUAAGUGGAAAAGGAUGUGGCGUUGCCCAGACAACUAGGAUGUUGGCUUAGAAGCAGCCAUCAUUUAAAGAGUGCGUAAUAGCUCACUAGUCGAGUGACACUGCGCCGAAAAUGUACCGGGGCUAAACAUAUUACCGAAGCUGUGGAUUGUCCUUUGGACAAUGGUAGGAGAGCGUUCUAAGGGCGUCGAAGCAUGAUCGCAAGGACAUGUGGAGCGCUUAGAAGUGAGAAUGCCGGUGUGAGUAGCGAAAGACGGGUGAGAAUCCCGUCCACCGAUUGACUAAGGUUUCCAGAGGAAGGCUCGUCCGCUCUGGGUUAGUCGGGUCCUAAGCUGAGGCCGACAGGCGUAGGCGAUGGAUAACAGGUUGAUAUUCCUGUACCACCUAGUAUCGUUUUAAUCGAUGGGGGGACGCAGUAGGAUAGGCGAAGCGUGCUGUUGGAGUGCACGUCCAAGCAGUAAGGCUGAGUGUUAGGCAAAUCCGGCACUCAUAAGGCUGAGCUGUGAUGGGGAGAGGAAAUUGUUUCCUCGAGUCGCUGAUUUCACACUGCCGAGAAAAGCCUCUAGAUAGAUAACAGGUGCCCGUACCGCAAACCGACACAGGUAGUCAAGAUGAGAAUUCUAAGGUGAGCGAGCGAACUCUCGUUAAGGAACUCGGCAAAAUGACCCCGUAACUUCGGGAGAAGGGGUGCUCUUUAGGGUUCACGCCCAGAAGAGCCGCAGUGAAUAGGCCCAAGCGACUGUUUAUCAAAAACACAGGUCUCUGCUAAACCGUAAGGUGAUGUAUAGGGGCUGACGCCUGCCCGGUGCUGGAAGGUUAAGAGGAGUGGUUAGCUUCUGCGAAGCUACGAAUCGAAGCCCCAGUAAACGGCGGCCGUAACUAUAACGGUCCUAAGGUAGCGAAAUUCCUUGUCGGGUAAGUUCCGACCCGCACGAAAGGCGUAACGAUU
rnacentral:rRNA from 1 species